rnacentral:tRNA from 2 species
AAUAGGAUGGCUGAAGUAUAGGCGGUAAAUUGUAAAUUUACUUAUGGGUAGAACCCUUCUGUUA